UCCCUGGUGGCUCAGAUGGUAAAGAAUCUGCCUGCAAUGCAGGAGACCUGGGUUCGAUCCCCAAGCUGGGAAA
rnacentral:tRNA from 1 species